AAACACUCCACUACUCCCUUCAUCUCUCUCACGAAGAAGAACAAUAAACAACACAUAAACUCUCUCAUCUCUUCUCCCUCACCGUAUACCACCACCAUAAUCAUCAUCAAUUCUUCUCAAGAAAUUCCACAUGCAGUUUCAUUUCCAUACUCUCUAGGUGCUAAGCUACAAGAAGUGGUAAGUUUCAAACCAACCUCCAUCUUCAUCAAAACAUCACCUAAACCAACAUACAAGUUCAUGAAUGGUUUUCCCUCAUCAUAAGCUUCAAGGUAAGGGUACCUUUAUACCAAAUCUCCUUCUAAUCUCCUUUAAUUCGUGCUCCUUCCCUCUCUUCCAAAGGAUUCAACUCUGUUCUUGUCUUGCAUGCAAGGGGUUUUAACCCAUAAGUGUGGUUCUUGAUGAUUUUGAAAUUUGAAUUGAAGACCAAAGCUCUAAAGGGGUAAGCUUAGUUGUCCCAUUUCUUUCCUUCCUCAAUUUCGUGCUCUUCUAAUUAAGCCCAGAACUGAAUCUCAUCAUGCAUGUGGGUUUUUAGUGAUCAAGAAGUCAUGGGUGAAAGAUUGACAGCUGAAAUUGGUGAAACUCGUAUUACUGGACAGACCCUCACCAAAACGGUAAUUGUUUUGUCUCUGUAACUCUGAAUGAGAUUCCGUUUGUUUCUAUAGUUAGCUAACGAAAUUCCGGUCGUUUCAACGCCAAUUUCAUGAAUUAUGGAGCAGUGUUGAGUUCAGGAGACGCAUCUGAAGUUCAGGAUAUGAUGUAGAAUUUUGGUAUGCGGGUUUAAGUUUUGUGGCUGCAAAAUUUGUAUUUCGGCGAGCACCGAAGAUGUCAUUAGCAUGGCUCAGGCGUCAUUUUCAGGUGGGUUUCUUUAGAAGCUUAACUUUUAGAUUAGUUAGCACCUUUAGUUUCCCCAAAUUCAAUAUAUGUACGAUAACAUUAGUAUUAGUUAGGAAAUUAGUCUCCCCAAAAUUAUGCAUGACAACAAUAGGAAAAUUAGAAAAUAAUUGUGUGAGAAGGUUUAAUCCCAAAACCAUCUCCAUUCUAAUUAUAUAAUAAUAUUUUAGUUGCUUAUGACCGGACAUGAAUGAGGUUGUAGGUGGAAACUGAUAAACUCUUUUAAAAGUAAAAAGCCGAGAAUUGAACUGGUAUUCUCGUAUAGCGAACAUCUUUCUUCGCUAAGCGAGCGUAUUAGAUCAGGACUUUGUAGAAUCAACAUUUUAAAUAAAAAUCCACUUGUUUUAUGUCCCUGACUAUUCUGGAAUAUUUCGUAAGCAGCGUAAUAAUAUUAUGUGAUUAGAAUGUUUAUCACACUCAGGAACUUAGGUUCAGGAAUCAGGACAGUUAAAAUUACCCCGGGAAGGUUUUCCUUCUUUUGGGUAGGAUAACCAUUCAGGAUUAGGAAUUAUGUUUCAGAAUUUAUCAGGAUGUUUGGUCAUUAGUACCAAUAUCAAGAAGCGUGGUCAUUAGUACCAUGUCAGGGGAUUCAUUCAGAAUCCAAAAUCAUGUAAUAAGAACUGUAAGCUCAUGUUGUAUUUCGACAUACAUUAUUAUCGGUAAUACCAGGCCAGGCACUCCGGGACCGGCUUACCCCAUGGUGAUCCUGUGAGGAUAAAACGAACAAGAUAAUUAUUAUGUGUGUUACACCUUUAUUUCUUUAUUAUCAUAUUAUGAAAACUUCAGGAUUAUGUCAGGAUUAGACUAUUAGAUAUUCAGGUUCAGGUUAAAGUUAGAAACUAUUAGUUUCAGUUGCCCCGGUAUAGUCACCAGUAGUUGGGUAGUAGGAACUCACUGAGGCUUAGUAGUCUCAUCCCACGACUUUCAAUUUUUUUUUAGGAAAAUAGGUUAACAGGAGAAAGGACCAGGCAGCAACUGAUGAUCAAGGUUGAGCUUAAAUUAUCGGAUUAGAAGACUGUCGUCUUCUUAUUUGUUUUUAUGUUAAUCUGUUAAGUUAGAAUAUAAUUCUCUCCCGCUGUAUUUUACUGGAUUAUAAUAUCACAUUAUUAUCGUGAUAUUGUAAAAUUCAAGUAAUUAUUCUGUAAUUUUAAUGUACUCA
rnacentral:lncRNA from 1 species